UACAGAGGAGCCAAGCGUUGUCCGGAUUGACUGGGCGUAAAGCGCACGCAGGCGGAUGCGCGCGUGGGGUGUGAAAUCUGGCCGCUUAACGGCCAGGCGCCAUCCCAUACGGCGCGUCUGGAGCCUUGCAGAGGUCGGUGGAAUUGCCGGUGUAGUGGUGAAAUGCGUAGAUAUCGGGAGGAACACCAGUGGCGAAGGCGACUACCUGGCCUGUUCUUGACGCUGAGGCGCGAAAGCUAGGGGAGCAAACGGG
rnacentral:rRNA from 1 species